rnacentral:rRNA from 1 species
GGGUGAGUAACACGUAGACAACCUGCCGACAGGAUGGGGACAACAUUCCGAAAGGAAUGCUAAUACCGAAUGAAGUCAGAGGAGGGCAUCCUCCUCUGAUGAAAGAUGGCCUCUAUUUAUAAGCUAUCACCUGUUGAUGGGUCUGCGUCUGAUUAGCUGGUUGGUGAGGUAACGGCUCACCAAGGCGACGAUCAGUAGCCGGUCUGAGAGGAUGAACGGCCACAUUGGGACUGAGACACGGCCCAGACUCC